rnacentral:sRNA from 1 species
CCACCAGGAAGGGCUCUGCAGCCACCGCCCUGGGCACAGCGCACCCAACCGGCCCCGGCCACCGGUAGGCUGGACAGCGCCCGAGGAAGUAGGGUUCCCAGACUCCAGUUUGAGCGAUAUCUCUCACCACUAUUCCUGGCCUCCUGGCCUAGCUCCUACUGGCCCUCACUGGCAUCUGGACCUGGGACCUGUAGUGUCAAAAUCCCACCUGAAGAACCAAGGACAAGAUGAAGACCAAUGCCAAAAUCUACAUCUCUGAGCCACAGCCAAGAAGAAAAAUGAGCAGGCUAGGAAUCCUUUCAGGGUUCUUCAACAGCAGGGUGGACCUGACUCACUCUCGCCCUGCCAAAAAACCACAGGCCCAGAUGUUCAGGAGUCUCUUGGGCUCAAAUUUCCUGUCUUCUCAAACCUGACUUGUCAUCCUCCUCUCCUCCUCCGAAUGACAUCCAGAGGAGAAAUUUACAAUCAUUCAAGUGUUCUCAUUUGCUAUGCUCCAGCUGAUCAAGGGUUCAAUGUAGACUCAUACAUGUAACCAAGAGCAGCUGUCAGAAGUUACACACAGCAACACACAAAAGCAAACAGGCAGUGUGAUGGAAAACAGCGAGAGCCGGAAUAUCUAACACAAGAACAUGUCUACCUAACCUUACCUGGGAGUAGAGAUGUCUGUUUUGAGUGCCUGACCAAGUGCUAUGUCUCCCAGAAGACAAAACCAAUCUUCCAGGUGGGUCAUCCUUUCCAAGACAACUCAUGCUGAAACCCAUGCUCACUUGAAGAUCUUGUUGUAAUAAAGAUCACUCAAUGCUUAUUUCCCA